rnacentral:rRNA from 1 species
CAUAAGCGGAGGAAAAGAAACUAACAAGGAUUCCCCUAGUAACGGCGAGUGAAGCGGGAAGAGCUCAAAUUUGAAAUCUGGCAGUCUUCGAUUGUCCGAGUUGUAAUCUAUAGAGGCGUUUUCCGUGCCGGACCGUGUCCAAGUCUCCUGGAAAGGAGUAUCAAAGAGGGUGAUAAUCCCGUACUUAACACGACCACCGGUGCUCUGUGAUACGUCUUCUACGAGUCGAGUUGUUUGGGAAUGCAGCUCAAAAUGGGUGGUGAAUUCCAUCUAAAGCUAAAUAUUGGCGAGAGACCGAUAGCGAACAAGUACCGUGAGGGAAAGAUGAAAAGCACUUUGGAAAGAGAGUUAAACAGUACGUGAAAUUGUUGAAAGGGAAACGAUUGAAGUCAGUCGUGUUCUUUGGAUUCAGCCAGUUCUGCUGGUCUACUUCCUUGGAACGGGUCAACAUCAGUUUUGUCCGGUGGAUAAAGGUAGUAGGAAUGUGACUUCUCCGGAAGUGUUAUAGCCUAUUAUCACAUACACUGGGUGAGACUGAGGACUGCAGCUCGCCUUUAUGGCCGGCCUUCGGGCACGUUCGAGCUUAGGAUGU